AGAAUCGCGUGAGUUUUGGAAGAUCCAUGAGAUAUAGGUACUCUAGUUGAUGGAGUAACAUCUUACUCAUUAUUUCUUCUUCCAAUCCUUCUUUGACCAUCACUUCUUCCAUCAUCUUACAAUUGCAUAUCUCAAGCCUUUUCAAAUGCACAACACUUGAGAGUGAUAAUAAAUUUUUCAAAUUAUCACAUCCAUCCACAAUCAGGAUAGUCAAAUUAGGAAAAGAUACCUUUCUACUGAAAAGUGGCAUUGGUGUCUCAGUCUCGUCUUCACAUUCAAUUUCUUUAUUACCUCCACUAGUUGUUGCUUCCUUCACUCGGGAACAAAAGCUUAUAAAUUGAGGUAGAUUUUCCAAUCUCAAAUAUCGUAGCUGUGGCAAAUUAAUUUUUUCAUCAUCUUCACCUUCCUCAACUACUAUCUCUUCCAUAAUUUCGCAACUACUCACAUCCACUUUUUCGAGCUUCUCAAGGCCUUUAAACAUAGAGAAUGAAAAGAGACUCCUCAAUGCAUUACAGUUCCCCACCUUUAAUUUUCUUAAAUUGCUGAAAGACCCCACCAUAUAAGGCCCAUAAUAGAUCUUCUCCAAAUUAUGCAAAUUGUCAAUAAAUAAUGACUCCAACCUCGGAAAAGCAGUGGAAUGGCCCAUUAUCAUCCAGUCUAUGAUAUAUUGAAUACCAAGGCUAUUUUGAACAUGCAGAUGCUUCAACUCAGGAAAACCUUGGUCGUCUAAUUCAUAGAGCACACUUCUUACACCCUUUAGGUCGUCCAAAUACAGAUCUUCAGUUUUCAUCAGCAACACUUUUACCCUCUCCAAAAGAGCACUUGUACCAAGCUUGAGUUUCAACGUUCUUAAGCUUCUGUAAUCAGCAUAUCUCUCGUACUCGUGCCAGUCCCAGUCCCACUCAUCACCGAUGAAAACUCUAAAUCUUUCCAGUUUUUCAGAAAAUAAAUCUUUAGGCAUGAUAUUUGCAUCAACGAUGUGUACCUCUAAAGUGGAUAACUUUGACAAAAGCUUCAAUUCUGACAGGUUAGCAUUGUUUCUUGGUUCAUCAUGUCCUUCACCCUUCCAUUGCACAAAACCGUCCCCCAUGUACAAUUCCUCCAAUUGGGCUAACCUUGAUAGGACAUCUGGGGGAAUCACUUCAAGUCCUCGACAUCGGCUCAAAUCCAAAAGUCGCAAACGAGUCAAUUUGCUCACUUCACUUGGCAGCCGAACAAUGGUAGAUUGAAUGAAGCUGAGAACUUGCAACUGUUUUAGAUCUCCGAUUGCAGAAAUGUCUUCCAAAACACAGUAAUCCAAACACAAUGUUUGGAGGUUCUCAAGGUAUUGAAGUGAUAAAGGCAGUGGUGACAAGUGCAUUCCCGUCAAAUCCAAGACUUUGAGCUCUUCCAUUCUACUGAAUAAAUUCUCUGGGAUUUUGAGCGAGGAAUUAUUAAACAUAAAAAAUGACUUGAGUUUUGGGCAUUCAAGUACUUCAGGAAGCUUAGGGAUAUUGCAAUAUGGCAAGGAGAUUGAUGUGCAUUGUUCAAAGAAGUCUUUAUUCGGCCAUUCUUCCAACUCAGUUUGAUAUGCUGCAGUAAAGACAUGAUGAUGCUUGGAUGCAAUUGAGGCUGCGAAGCUGUGAACCACAUCAUGCAUUUUUACUUGUUCAUGGUUGUUGCCUUCCAGUAACAAACAAGACAUUUUAAGAUCACUGAUUACUUUAAGUAGUCUAUCUCUUGUUGCUUUUAGUGUGGUGCGUUGAUUAAACAAGCCUAACCCCAUGCUAUAUUUCAACAAGUCACUGAUGACCACAACAUAAGGGAAUUGUCCUAAAAGUCGGAACAAAGACCUCUCUUCAUCUCUCAGAAAGUUGUAACUCAACUCUAGGGCCGAGUAAACUCUCGCUUCAUCUCCUUUGCCAUCAAACUUUUUAAGCUCUUCCAACGCAUCGUUCCAUUCAAACAUUUGCUUGUUUUUCAAUCCCGUCGCUACUGGUACAAUUAAAAUGGGCAAGCCUGCGCAUCUCUCUGCGACUUCGAUAGCUAUAGGUCGUAAGUUGGAAUCUUUAAGAUCUCCCACAAUCUUCUCAAAUAGAUUCCAUGCUUCUUGAUGCUGUAAAACUUCAAGCAAGACAUCUCUUUGUACUCCCAUUUCCAACAACACAGAUUGAUUUCUAGACGUCAUCAGUAUCUUGCUUCCUUUAUGAUCAGGGCCAUAAGGAAUUCCUACCUCCUCCAGUUUGAUUGCUGCCCAAAUAUCAUCUAGAAUUAUGAGAAUUUUCUCUUCUCUUUUGAUUCGCUCGCUCAACCUAGCUGCUCGUACGUCAACAGACUCCACAUCAAAUUUGUAGUCUAACCAAUCUGCAAUUUGUUGUUGAACAGUUUUCAAAUCCGGAUUGUGAGUUACAGUUGCCAUAACCACCAAUUUGACGAUUCCACAUUCCCUGACUUGUGCAGCAAUCUGUUUCACUAGCGUGGUCUUACCCACGCCUCCCAUUCCAUACACUCCAAUGAGAUUAACAUCAGCAUCCUUUAAAGCAUUCAUGAUUUCAUCCGCAGCUAAUGUUCUUGAUUCAAAGAACUCAAAACCUUUGACUGCCCCUAUGCCCUGUGGUGUGAUGCGGUAGCAAACUUUCUCAAAAUUUCCUUCUUCUCGGGUUCUAACAACGAUUGGUAAAGCUUUGCUCGCUUUUCUACUAAUUUGGUGGCGCCUGAUCAAAUUAGGACACAAUCCCAUGAAGCACCUCUUCUUUGCUUUGUCUUCAUGUCGAAGAAGAAUUUUACCAGCAUCUUCAAUGACAUUAUUCACUUUAGUCAACCAUCUCUGAACAUCAGCUUCAACUUCUUCUACUGGAUUGCGCUUAACUUCCUCCACAGCGUGCUCAACCCUUUGUUUUUUAUCCGUGAGCUUUCCAACUUCUUCUUCAAGGUUGUGUAUGUUGUCACUGUAGUUAAAUACAUAUUUGAUCUGACGCAGAGUGGGUUCAACCAACAGUUCGAAAACUUUGGAUACAAUGGGAUCAGUCACUAAUUUCACAAACUCCAUUUGC
rnacentral:misc_RNA from 1 species